UUGCAGCAAUGAUGGGCUGAACAAGACACAGACACCUUCUAUGGGCUACGUGUAAAGAGCCAAAUCGGUGUCAGGAGUGUUGAUCCGAAUCAAACAAGAGGUCCAUUUGAUGACUGAAAGGUGAAAUGAAGAAAUACCUGAAUCUGUGCACGGGUCAGAGAGGAGGGGG